rnacentral:lncRNA from 1 species
CUCUUGCUCAGUAAGAGCUGUGGAAGGAACAUCCCACUUGCGUCUGCUGACACAAAAGAAUGCUGUGGCUAGGAGAUCUUAUCGAGCCUUCCUGUGCCACAGCAACAGAGCCCUAGUUGUGUCUCCUAAGAAUUGCUCAUUGUUUCAGGAGGACGACUGGCUCCUUUGGGUGGGAUCUGAUGGCAUCUCAUGGAGUUGGAGCCUCUGACUUUGAUUGCAGGGUCCUUAUCAGAGCCUAGCACACACACCUGGCCC